CCUACGGGUGGCAGCAGUAAGGAAUAUUGGGCAAUGGACGCAAGUCUGACCCAGCCAUGCCGCGUGAAGGAUGAAGGCCCUAUGGGUUGUAAACUUCUUUUAUACGGGAAAAAACCUCCGGUCGUGAAUCGGAGCUGAUGGUACCGUAAGAAUAAGCAUCGGCUAACUCCGUGCCAGCAGCCGCGGUAAUACGGAGGAUGCAAGCUUUAUCCGGAUUCAUUGGGUUUAAGGGGAGCGAUAACGGAGUGAUGAAUUCCUACGGCUCAACUGUAGAACUGCCAUUGAUACUGUCAUUCUUGAGUACUGUUGAGGUGGGCGGAAUGUGUCAUGUAGCGGUGAAAUGCUUAGAUAUGACACAGAACACCGAUCGCGAAGGCAGCUCACCAAGCAGAAACUGACGCUCAUGCACGAAAGCGUGGGGAUCAAACAGGAUUAGAUACCCUUGUAGUC
rnacentral:rRNA from 1 species